rnacentral:rRNA from 1 species
AGAGCGAACGCUGGCGGCAGGCUUAACACAUGCAAGUCGAGCGGGCGUAGCAAUACGUCAGCGGCAGACGGGUGAGUAACGCGUGGGAACAUACCUUUGGUUCGGAACAACACAGGGAAACUUGUGCUAAUACCGGAUAAGCCCUUACGGGGAAAGAUUUAUCGCCAAAAGAUUGGCCCGCGUCUGAUUAGCUAGUUGGUGAGGUAACGGCUCACCAAGGCGACGAUCAGUAGCUGGUCUGAGAGGAUGAUCAGCCACAUUGGGACUGAGACACGGCCCAAACUCCUACGGGAGGCAGCAGUGGGGAAUAUUGGACAAUGGGCGCAAGCCUGAUCCAGCCAUGCCGCGUGAGUGAUGAAGGCCCUAGGGUUGUAAAGCUCUUUUGUGCGGGAAGAUAAGUGACGGUACCGCAAGAAUAAGCCCCGGCUAACUUCGUGCCAGCAGCCGC